rnacentral:piRNA from 1 species
UCUAGUUUGUAUUGUGGUCUGGAAUUGUC